CUAGGAACAGUUUAAGUAAUGAUGCCUCAUAUCAAAAGGAAGGAGCUUAUAUUAACAAGAAUGUUGUGACGGUGAGGUUCACAAAAUUACAUUACAUUAAAUAGCUGCAGCUGUUACUUCACACUAACAGUGUGAAAGCACUAUUACCUGUAACUGGGAGGAUUUAUGUCUAUACCCUUUGUUAAAUCUCUGCUUUCUAUGUUUGAUUUUGUGUUACUUCUAAACCAUGGGUCAGCUGGGUAUCUUCAUAUUUACUGUUUCAAAGGAUCAUAAGUGUGAGGAGAAUUCUGAACUAUCUAGUGAAAGAAAAGACAGGUCUAUGAUGGUUCAACAAGCUCAGUAAGGACUUGACAAGUAAACAGUUUUCAUUAAUGCUUAGCAUCCCUGAACUGCUGACUCCUGGCCACCAAAGGAUUAUGAAGCUUUUAUUCUCAAAGGAGAAACACUGGCUAAGUCAUUGCUGUCCUUUCUGCUAAUGCUAAUGGAUUUUUUCAUGGACAUGGAAGUAUAUAUUAGUUUACAGAUUUCAUCCAGUCAACAAAAGUACGUGGCUCCCUACAUGUAAUGGUCAGACAUGUUCUCCUCUCCAUCUGUGAAAAUAAUUUUGAGACUGAAAACUCUUCCAAGAGAUCCUUUUCUCAUUAAUGGACUGACCUGGUAGACAACUGAGAGUGAUCUUUUACUCCAUUUCCAAG